GGGUGACUAGUCUAGUGGUCAGGACGGUUCGUUGUGGCCUUGCUCACUUACCGAACAAACCCCGGUUCGAUUCCGGGGUCGCCCA